rnacentral:rRNA from 1 species
CGGAAACGUCGUGUCCGAAAGGGCCCUGCACAGGUGGUGCAUGGCUGUCGUCAACUCGUGUCGUGAGAUGUUGGGUUAAGUCCCGCAACGAGCGCAACCCUCGACCUUAGUUGCCAGCAUUCAGUUGGGCACUCUAAGGUGACUGCCGGCUAAAAGUCGGAGGAAGUGGGAUGACGUCAAAUCAUCAUGCCCCUUAUGACCUGGGCUACACACGUGCUACAAUGGGCGGUACAAAGGGUCGCGAACCCGCGAGGGGGAGCCAAUCCCAAAAAGCCGCUCUCAGUUCGGAUUGCAGGCUGCAACUCGCCUGCAUGAAGCCGGAAUCGCUAGUAAUCGCGGAUCAGCAUGCCGCGGUGAAUACGUUCCCGGGCCUU